UGUAUCUGAAGCCUGACGAGGAUGAGAACCUCCGGGGGCAAGAGGUUCGACCCGAGCGCAGCGAGAGAACGUUGCUUCAGCAACGGC
rnacentral:sRNA from 1 species